GACGAACGCUGGCGGCGUGCUUAACACAUGCAAGUCGAACGGAAAGGCCCUGCUUGCCGGGUACUCGAGUGGCGAACGGGUGAGUAACACGUGGGUGAUCUGCCCUGCACUUCGGGAUAAGCUUGGGAAACUGGGUCUAAUACCGGAUAGGAGCCAUCUUUAGUGUGGUGGUUGGAAAGUUUUUUCGGUGUAGGAUGAGCUCGCGGCCUAUCAGCUUGUUGGUGGGGUAAUGGCCUACCAAGGCGGCGACGGGUAGCCGGCCUGAGAGGGUGUACGGCCACAUUGGGACUGAGAUACGGCCCAGACUCCUACGGGAGGCAGCAGUGGGGAAUAUUGCACAAUGGGCGCAAGCCUGAUGCAGCGACGCCGCGUGGGGGAUGAAGGCCUUCGGGUUGUAAACGCCUGUCGCUAGGGACGAAGCUUUUUGUGACGGUACCUAGAUAAGAAGCACCGGCUAACUACGUG
rnacentral:rRNA from 1 species